GCGCCGGUGGUGUAAUGGCGUAGAGCAUUCCCGCCCGGUUAGAGGGAGGUGUGGGUUCGAGUCCCGCCCGGCGCU
rfam:Heligmosomoides polygyrus genome assembly, scaffold: HPBE_scaffold0002697